AAAUGUUAGAUUUAGUAUUGGUGUGUGACGAAUAACUUAAAUUUUUAGGAAAUGGCCCCACCUACCCAUGCAAAUUUGAUGCGUGACUUGUUGCAAGCGGUGCAAGAGUUGACCAGACAGAAUCAAGCUCCUUCACCGCAAAAUGCACCGCCACAGCAAGAUACACCUCCAUUCGUUCCUGGAGCGAUCUCUAUAGUUGAGCAGUUUCGUAGGUACAAGCCUCCUACAUUCGACGGUAAUUCCGACCCACUGGCUGUUGAAGAGUGGAUUAGAGGCCUCGAGCGUAUUUUUCGACACAUUUCUUGUACAAACGCACAGAAGGUACUAUGCGCAGAAUUCAUGUUGGUUGGAGCAGCCGGUCACUGGUGGGAAUCAGUCUCACGCACUAGGACCGAAGAACAGCAGCGUAACUUAACUUGGGAACAAUUUAAGGAUGAAGUGAUGGCAAAGUACUUCCCACAAGCUCUGAGAGAUUUCAAGGAAUCUGAGUUUCUACAGCUCAGACAGG
rnacentral:lncRNA from 1 species